GGAGGGGUGAUUAAAUUAACCUGUUAGCAACUAUGUUUGAAACAAUGGGCUAAGAGGGUAUAAAAACCUCAGGUAUGCUGCAGUUUGUCCUUUUCAACAGAAAACUUUCUUGGAUAGCUGCUGGACUGCAAAAAGAGUGUGAUCUGUUUAGCAUGGAACCAGUAACUUUAAACUGCAUUUCACCACCAGGCCAAGGCCCAAGCACACAUAAGGGGGAACAGAACAAGCGUGUGCCUGCAACACUUUAUCCCAUAGUGAAAG